GCAGCGACGAAGACCCGGUGUCGUUCGGGCCCUCCUUGAACUGCUCCAUGUCGGCGAGGUUCGGGCGCGACAUCUUGUUCGCCGCGACGACUUGGAGGCUCGCAGCCCUGUUCGCGACCGGGCGCGCGGCGACGUUGAGGGACACCGGGGUCGCGCGGACGACCGUCUUGAACCCUGGUAGUUCAACGGAGCGGAGCGAGGAGUUGGAUGGUCAGCGACGCGUCCGGAGGAAGAGGCGUGGGAAUCGAUCGACCUCUGCGUGGCGAUUAACCCUCGAGGGAUAGGGUUUCGGUGUGGCGCCUUCGACGAGCGCGAAAGCGCCUUUGGCGGCGUCGACGGGACGCGGCACGCCGCGGACGAAUCGUCCGCGCCUACACGCGCGCACGCGACGCGCGCGGGACGACUCAACACGCUCGUGCGUGGGAAGAGCCGCCGCGUCCGGGCGGACGCGGCUUCCGCCGCUAGAUUUCGUUCGCGCGAGAGUCGAGCGUCGGGAUUCGCGCACCAGUCGCGCCGGACGAGGAGGUGACGGAAGUGCGAGGCGCGCUCGCGCGGACGAGAACCGCCGUGGUCAUCAUAGCGGCCAUCUUGUGCCUAAAGGUGUGAAGCUCGCGUCCUGUAGACGGC
rnacentral:lncRNA from 1 species